ACUUCUGAAGGAUAAUAGCUAAUCCGUUGGUCUUAGGAACCAAAAACCCUUGGUGCAAGUCCAAGCAGUAGUU
rnacentral:tRNA from 1 species